rnacentral:rRNA from 1 species
CAAAAACAUGUCCAUUAUGGAAGAUAUUAAUGGUCAGGCCUGCUCACUGAUUAGUAAAUUUAAAGAGCCGCGGUAUGUUGACCGUGCAAAGGUAGCAUAAUCAUUAGUUUUUUAAUUGAGAACUCGUAUGAAUGGUUCGACAAAGGAAAGACUGUCUCUAUACUAAAUUUUGAAUUUAACUUUUAAGUGAAAAGGCUUAAAUAAUUCAGGGGGACGAUAAGACCCUAUAAAGCUUUAUAUAGUAUCUACAUUAUAUUAAAUUAAAGAUUUAAAAAUUAGUUAUAGGUACUUUAUUUUGUUGGGGCGACAAAGGUAAAAAUUUGGAUAACUGCUAUUAAGCUUGAACAAUAAUAAUUGAAAUAUGAUUAAAAGAUCCUUAUUAAAGAUUUAAAAAUUAAGUUACUUUAGGGAUAACAGA